rnacentral:lncRNA from 1 species
UUUGCUGACAAAUUUAUCUCCUUUAUACUCGUGCACUGAAGCUUCACUUACGCACACCAACAUUAAGCCCAAAAACAACAACAACAACAACACAACCACUGAUUGAUUCAUCUUCACAGGCAUUGUGGUCACCAACUGAGAGAGUUUAUGACUGUGGGUACGCGUCUGUUUUGCUGGAUCUGCUCUGCUCAGCAGCUGAUGUGAACAAACUGUGAGAUGAGGAGACAGGUGCGAAUGAGAUCUUGGGUUUGAGUGUUUUGGUCAGAGAGAGAAGAAGCUUGUAUAUUGGUUAAUUUUCAAAAUUUACCUUUUAAUUUGCCAAGCCAACAAAUAGAUCCAUGUUUCUACUUCUUGUCUCUCUUUUUUUCCUUUUUUUUAGGGAAAAAAAAAAGGUUUGGAUGUGAUGAAAAUUCUCAGGAUCUCUCCUAUUAAAUACUAAUAUUUAUUUUUAUUAUCAUUUGAGCUCAUUUUAUUAUGUAUAUACAUUACAUUCACGACUGAUAGAGUAUACCCAAAAAUAUCAUUGAUAAUUUUUAAUUUAUUAAUCCCUCCACUAGAAAUAAAUAAUAUAAGCAUGAUAAUAUCAUUUUAGUAGGAGUAACAAUUGAAUUGUUUAGGUUUGAGAAUCGGUGCAAGAUCACUUUCAAUUUGAAGCGAGAUUCCAAAAAAUGAAUCAAGAUUUCAAAAACAAAAAAAUAAGGAAAUGACAUUUGCCCAGUACUAGAUUUAUUAUGACCAUAAUUUUAUCAGCCUUAAUAAACUGGGCUAGAAAUUCGGGAAAAAUGAUUUAAAAUAGCGAAUGACAUAAAGUUAUUUGCUAGUUUCAAUUAUUGUUCCUAGAGGCAUAAAAUUAAAAGCAUGCAACUUCUUAUUAUUAUUUGUUAAUAGAACUAGAUGAUAGACUGUGGCACAGGUAUGGAUUUGAGAUGAAUGGGUAAGUUUAUGAACUUAUUUACUAUUGUUUCAAAUUAUAGGUACUAUUUGAUAAUUUUCGUUUAAUUUAAUAUUAACGGCACGAGAAAUACGUCCGUUCGUGGCGUGGGCCACCGUGUGGGCGCGUUCGCAGAAAGAGAAAACUAACAGCUGUAACAACAACUGUAAGGGACGUGCGUAGAUGUAACAAACAAUUAAGAUGAUUGGGCGAUAUGGGGAAACAGGGAAGGCCAAUGGGGCCGCUUAUGGUUGAUGGAAUAUUAGAGGCCAGGGCCCAAGGCCCAAAAUUCUCGGAAUGAUUCGAAAUAAUUCUUCACAUAAUCUUACGCACUUGACUUGAUCAAAAGACGUUUGUUAUUAAGUUUUCGGAUGAUUCGAUUAUGAAAAAGCAAAUGUUUGCAAGAUUGUAUUAGCUUGGAAUUGAUGUCAUCUGUGAAUGUUUUCACUGCCUUCACUGCAUAAAAUUCUCUGAAUUCAGAAAAAAAAGUGGAUUAAGCGAACCUAAUCUUGAGAGUAUAAAGCGAUGAAACCAGUACCAACUGCAAAUUGCAAAUCAUACAUAGUACAAGCAUUCUUGACUAAUAAUAUUACAAAGAUUUCCCAGGGAGCAUGGAAUGCUAAUCAAUUCUCCUGCACCACCAACCGCUUAAUAUUUUGCGAAACAUUGGGUGCACGACACAUGCUAGUCCAGAUCCAGAAACUCCAUUCUUUUCCGCAUUGAACCUUUAAGAUCUGAUGCCUCCCUCUCUGCUUUCUGAGCCUGAAGAAGUUACAAUGCUGGUAGUUAAUAGUAAGUCUAUGUCAAGACAAUAAAGUUCAGAGUACAUGCCAUCUCUUUGUCUUUUCUGGAUUAUAUUAUGUAAAGUGCUCUAAAAGCCCCAUUAAAUAUACUCAGAAAUCAAGAUUCAUAUGAAAAAGAGUCUGAAACUUAACUUACCGAAUGUAAGAAUCUCCGUUGUUAGCAGCAGUCUCAUUGACAUGAGCAUCAGAAAAAGAAGAGUAAAUCCCUUCACUGCCGGCAUGCACAACAAAAGCAUUCCCUUUGCUGACAAAUUUAUCUCCUUUAUACUCGUGCACUGAAGCUUCACUUACGCACACCAACAUUAAGCCCAAAAACAACAACAACAACAACACAACCACUGAUUGAUUCAUCUUCACAGGCAUUGUGGUCACCAACUGAGAGAGUUUAUGACUGUGGGUACGCGUCUGUUUUGCUGGAUCUGCUCUGCUCAGCAGCUGAUGUGAACAAACUGUGAGAUGAGGAGACAGGUGCGAAUGAGAUCUUGGGUUUGAGUGUUUUGGUCAGAGAGAGAAGAAGCUUGUAUAUUGGUUAAUUUUCAAAAUUUACCUUUUAAUUUGCCAAGCCAACAAAUAGAUCCAUGUUUCUACUUCUUGUCUCUCUUUUUUUCCUUUUUUU